UACACUCUGCGGGAGGCAGCAGUGGGGAAUAUUGCACAAUGGGCGCAAGCCUGAUGCAGCCAUGCCGCGUGUAUGAAGAAGGCCUUCGGGUUGUAAAGUACUUUCAGCGGGGAGGAAGGCGAUAAGGUUAAUAACCUUGUCGAUUGACGUUACCCGCAGAAGAAGCACCGGCUAACUCCGUGCCAGCAGCCGCGGUAAUACGGAGGGUGCAAGCGUUAAUCGGAAUUACUGGGCGUAAAGCGCACGCAGGCGGUCUGUCAAGUCGGAUGUGAAAUCCCCGGGCUCAACCUGGGAACUGCAUUCGAAACUGGCAGGCUAGAGUCUUGUAGAGGGGGGUAGAAUUCCAGGUGUAGCGGUGAAAUGCGUAGAGAUCUGGAGGAAUACCGGUGGCGAAGGCGGCCCCCUGGACAAAGACUGACGCUCAGGUGCGAAAGCGUGGGGAGCAAACAGGAUUAGAUACCCGAGUAGUCCCAUGAU
rnacentral:rRNA from 1 species